GUGAUUACCUGUUGCUCUGUAGUUAGUUGGCAUUUCUGCUUUAAAAAAAUAGGUGGGAGUGUGUGCUGGGCCUGAGCAGAAGGGCACACGUCUG